CCCUUAGAUGUUCUGGGCAGCACGCGCGCUACAAUGGUCUUCGCACACGGAUGCAUUCUCGAAGGAGAAUGCCAAUCUUGGAAUCUAUGCCUUGGUCGGGACAGUUGCUUGCAAUUUUUCGACUCGAACCAGGAAUUCCUUGUAAUCGUGAUUCAUCACAUCACGAUGAAUACGUCCCUGCCCUUUGUACACACCGCCCGUCGCUCCUACCGAUCGAAGAGUUAGGUGAAUUGUUUUGAUCGAUAAGAUUUGACUAUGGUCAACUCUCGUUGUGAAAUUCUGUGAAUCUGACUGUUUAGAGGAAGGAAAAGUCGUAACA
rnacentral:rRNA from 1 species